rnacentral:rRNA from 1 species
GAUGAACGCUGGCGGCGUGCCUAAUACAUGCAAGUCGAGCGAACAGACGAGGAGCUUGCUCCUCUGACGUUAGCGGCGGACGGGUGAGUAACACGUGGAUAACCUACCUAUAAGACUGGGAUAACUUCGGGAAACCGGAGCUAAUACCGGAUAAUAUAUUGAACCGCAUGGUUCAAUAGUGAAAGACGGUUUUGCUGUCACUUAUAGAUGGAUCCGCGCCGCAUUAGCUAGUUGGUAAGGUAACGGCUUACCAAGGCAACGAUGCGUAGCUGACCUGAGAGGGCGAUCGGCCACACUGGAACUGAGACACGGUCCAGACUCCUACGGGAGGCAGCAGUAGGGAAUCUUCCGCAAUGGGCGAAAGCCUGACGGAGCAACGCCGCGUGAGUGAUGAAGGUCUUCGGAUCGUAAAACUCUGUUAUUAGGGAAGAACAAAUGUGUAAGUAACUAUGCACGUCUUGACGGUACCUAAUCAGAAAGCCACGGCUAACUACGUG